AUACUCUGGUUUCUUUUCAGAUAGUAGAAAUAUUUCACCUUUUACUAAAAAAUUCCAUGGAGAGGAACACUUAGAGUUUGAAUCAAUUUUUAUGGCCCUGCUUUUGUCGGGC